rnacentral:rRNA from 1 species
UACAGAGACUGCAAGCGUUAUUCGGAUUCACUGGGCGUAAAGGGUGCGCAGGCGGUUGUGUGUGUCAGGUGUGAAAGCCCGGGGCUUAACCCCGGAAUUGCCUUUGAGACUGAGUGGCUUGAGUACGAGAGAGGUGAGUGGAAUUCCCAGUGUAGAGGUGAAAUUCGUAGAUAUUGGGAAGAACACCGGUGGCGAAGGCGGCUCACUGGCUCGUAACUGACGCUCAUGCACGACAGCGUGGGGAUCAAACAGG